rnacentral:rRNA from 1 species
AUUUCCAAUUAAUUAUUAAAAAUAUUUAUACAACAAUAACUUUUAUAAUUAAUUAACUCUUUUAAAUUCGAGAAUUUCUUAAUUAAAAAAUUUUUUUAAUUAAGAAAUUCUCGAAUUUAAAAGAGUUAAUUAAUUAUAAAAGUUAUUGUUGUAUAAAUAUUUUUAAUAAUUAAUUGGAAAUGAUAUGUUAAUCGUUUUUAAAUAUAUCUAGUUUUUUUAGAAAAAAAUUUAAUUUUAAAUUUAUUUUAAUUAUUAAUUAAUUAAUUAAUUAAUAAUAAAUUUUAUAAAUAAUAAAAAUAUUUAUAAAUUUAUAAAUAAAUUUUAUAUUUUAAGGGAUAAGCUUUAAAUUAAAAAUAAUAUAAUAGAAAAAAGAAAUUGAAAAUUAUAUAAUUUAUAUUGUUAAUAAAUUAUAAUUUAUUAUAAAUAAUUUCAUUAAAAAUAAAAUUUAAUUUAAAUUUAUUUUUUUAUAAAAAAAUAAAUUUAAAUUAAAAAAAUUUAAUUAUAAUGAUAAAAUUAGUAUAUAAAAAAUUAAUUAUAGAAUGGAUUUAUAAAAAAAAAUAAAUUUAAAUUUUUUUAUUAGUUUACAAUAAAAUUAAAAAAUUAAUUAAUAGAGAGAAUUAUUUAUAAGGAAUUCGGCAAAUUUUUAUAUUCACUUGUUUAUCAAAAACAUGUCUUUUUGUUAAUAAUAUAAAGUCUAAUCUGCCCACUGAUUUUAAUUAAAGGGCUGCAGUAUAUUGACUGUACAAAGGUAGCAUAAUCAUUAGUCAUUUAAUUGAUGACUUGUAUGAAAGAUUGGAUGAAAUAUAUACUGUCUCUUAAAUAAAUUAUAGAAUUUAAUUUUUUAAUUAAAAAGUUAAAAUAAAUUAAAAAGACGAGAAGACCCUAUAGAGUUUUAUAUUUAAUUUUAUUUGAAUUAUUUAUAUAAAAAUAAAUUUAAAUUUAAUUAAAUAUUUUAUUGGGGUGAUGAAAAAAUAAAUUAAACUUUUUUUUAUUAUAUAACAUAUAUAAGUGAGUUUUUGAUCCAAUAUUAUUGAUUAUAAGAAAAAAUUACCUUAGGGAUAACAGCGUAAUUUUUUUUUUUAGUUCAAAUAAAAAAAAAAGUUUGCGACCUCGAUGUUGGAUUAAGAUAAAAGUUAAAUGCAGAAGUUUAAAUUUUUGAUCUGUUCGAUCAUUAAAAUCUUACAUGAUCUGAGUUCAAACCGGUGUGAGCCAGGUUGGUUUCUAUCUUUUAUAAAUUAAAAUAUUUUAGUACGAAAGGAUUAAAUAUUUAAAUUAAAUUUAAGUAAAUGAAUGUUAUUAAUAAUGAUAUAUAUAUAUAUAUAUAUAAAUUAAUUUAUUUAAUUUAAUAUUAAAUUUU